UCCCUCCAUGCCCCGAACCCUCGACCUACCUAUCCCAGGCUCUCAGCCUCCCUCCCUGCACCGCCGCUAGCACCUCCAUCCCUAGCUGGCCGCCAUCACACCCCCAGCAGCCAUGUACAGCGGGGCGGCCCAAGGAAAGGAGCUCCCCUCCCCGACCCGAUCUGAUGGAGAGAACGCCAGGCCUUGCCACUCCGGUUGUCGCUGUGGCCAGAUCCGAUCGUGGGAGCCGCCGUAGAGCCUCCAUGUCGGCGGAGCAGAGCAGUCCGACAGUGGUGGGUGCCCGAUCUCGUCCAGCAAGUCGCCGUUGGUUGCCACGACCACCUCAUUCCCUGUCGCCCCUCUCCUUCAACCAUGGUGGCGCUCCUCCCCGCAUUGCCGUCGUUGGUGGAGCUCGCCUCACCCUCCUCACCCCGUCAGCUGCAACCGCUCCUUACCUCCACGGUGCUCCUCUUCUACAUCCAACGCAGGCCAGUGAACGGCGACGACUAGGAGGCCUCUACCUCGACUCUACCGGCCGUGGUCGCCCCGCGUCUCCGCGCCCCCGCCCCUUAGCAUCGCGUCGACGCGUCGCAUCCCUCUCAACGAAGAGAGGAAGAGGUGUACGAGAGUGGGGAGAACGCUGUUCGCGGGGCCUCCAAGCACAAAGACACAAGAGGAGAAGCGGAUGUGACGGAAAUCUCACAAUCGCAUCUCCCGUCUCUCUCAUGUCAAGUCAGGUGACGAAGACCGGCGACUGCGACCACGCUCUACCAUCGUGCAUGUCUCUCCGCCUAUCUUCCCGCCCCUCUUCGCUUGUCUAUCCUUGAAUUCAGAAUUUCGCUAUCAUUGGUGACCACUGCAUCAUCAUCAUCGAUGGAGAUGCUAUUGAUGUCGAUGAACAUGGCUGUGUAAAAGGUGCAAGUCAUCAUCGAUAAAUGGGGCAAGGACAUGGAUGGUAUUCAUGUGAGGGGAACAUGCUGGAGCAAAGGAUCUGCGUCACGGUCUUAUUUCAUUGCUGAAAAUCACAAGGAUGUAGUGGGGUGUGUCUGCCAUGAACGAGGUGCACCUGGGUAUGAUCUUGCCAUGAACAUGACAGCUUAUCAAGUUUCGUCAGAGUUAUGUUUUGGUUGGCUGAUAGCUUGCAAGAUCUUCAUCUUCUACUAUCUGCUUCCUUCGGUUUGUGUAGUCUACAUAGUAGGCCAUCAUCCAGAAAGGAAGCGAUGGAUUAAAACUUGUGGGUUUAUGGCUCUUUCCUCGUGAAGAGUAUUCCGGGAAGUACGAGCUCAACUUUCAGGUUCAUCGGCUUAGGUGUCGUGCCUGCUCGGAAAGGAUGUGAUGGAGAUGGUGCACACGAACUGAUAUUUCUUAUAAGAAAGAGAAAUCAACAAGGUGCUUGGAAUUGGAAUGUUUUCAUUCUUUGAGUUUUGGUCAUUUUAAAGGAAUGAAGGGAAGGGAAGACGUGAGGAGAAAGCUCUACCUGCACAGGACACAAGAUCCGUGCCGGGAAUUCGGUUGUGCUUGUAUGUUACUGUAGAGCGACCAUUUCAGGGUGGAUGUUGAUGGUCUCAGAUUGAUUCGAUGCUGCAGCGAGUGAAGAUGGCCUCUUUUGGGGUGAGGCACAACUAUAGUUGCACAGCUAAAGUUCCUAUGUUCAAAGGUUAUAACUCCUUGUCCUUUGUAGUUUGGAUUUUGGAAUAAUUAUCCUGGAUAGAUGCUAGAAUGGGAGAAAUACCCAACAAAACACAAAUUUAGCAAUGGACAUGCAUGUCUUUUAAUCACUUCGGCUUGCUUCUAUUGUUUGUGUUUUCAUCUGGUAUGGGCUUUGAAGCAUGCCGUCGUCAGAAAGAAUCCAUCAUUUUGUCAAAAUAUUGGAUGUAUAACUAAUUCCAUGUUUGUGUUUUCAGCUGGUAUGGGCUUGCACUAAUGAUGUAUUAAAACAUUGAUCUGAUGGCAGGAAGAUCCAAGAUGGUACUGUAUGGUUCUUGUGUUAACCCUCUUGUAGAUAUUGAAAUGCAUGAAAGUCACAUUAGAUUAUGUAUUGAAACAUAUACAAGGUUUUCUCUACCAAAGUAUAUAUUGUGUUUCUAUUGUUUGCCUGAGUAAUCUGAAUUCACCUUAUAUUGUUGAAGUUAUUGGUCUAUCAAUUAUUUAUCUGUAUUUCAUUUUGCCAAAAAAGCAAACAAACAGAAGAGCCAAACAUUGCAUGCUUCGACAGACGAAACCUGCCCACGGAGGUGGUGGCGCCGGUGGUAGGCGGCAAUGAGGCAACAACGCUUCAUGAGGCGGUCAAGUCUGUGGUCGUGAGCCGAUGCAUCCACCAACGCCGCAAUCGAGUCAACUUCAGGACUCCAUUAGUGAUAGUUGGCUGUGUUAAAGGAAAAAAUUAUUAGGAUAAUAGAAACUGUUGGGAUAAUUUCUUUCUAUAGUGGAUGAAGUUAUUUCAAGUAACAUAUCUUGGUUUCUCCCUGUAGUCGUGUACUUAAGAAAAGCUCCAACACAAUGAAAUGGCAGCAAAGAAGCCCGUAUUAUGUUAGCACAAAA